ACGGAGGGUGCGAGCGUUAAUCGGAAUUACUGGGCGUAAAGCGCACGUAGGCGGCCUGUUAAGCUGGAUGUGAAAGCCCCGGGCUCAACCUGGGAAUGGCCUCCAGAACUGGCAGGCUAGAGUACAGUAGAGGGUGGUGGAAUUUCCUGUGUAGCGGUGAAAUGCGUAGAUAUAGGAAGGAACAUCAGUGGCGAAGGCGGCCACCUGGACUGAUACUGACGCUGAGGUGCGAAAGCGUGGGGAGCAAACAGGA
rnacentral:rRNA from 1 species